rnacentral:sRNA from 1 species
UUUUUUUUGGUAAAAUAUAAAGUAUUUAUAUCAUUUUCAAAGUUUCGACAAAAAUUACAAAGAGUACAAGUAGCGAAAAAAUACCAGAAAUCUACAGAAAGAACAUACAAUGACAAUCGUUGGUGUCAGUUUUGUCUUCCGUUGUUGCUUGUUUGUGGCUCCUCAUCAGGUUCCCUUUUCUCUGUUACAGUGGUUCGAUGUUGGUGUUUUGAUUUUGUCUUUCAGUUUUUGGAGGUGCAUGUCUUGUCUGAGCGGAGAUUUCUUGAGAAGAAUAGAGGCGGCGUUUUGGUCUAUGUGGCAUUGCUUAUCCGUGAGAGCUGGUUUUUAUCGUUUUUAUAAGAAUGGCGACCGGAGGUGGUUUCUCUAGUUUUCCGUAGAUGCUCUUAUAACCAUCGGAUUUGUGAUUAAGUCCAUUGUUGUCAUCGCGUUUUUGCGUUAGUUUGCGGAGAAGCUGUAUGCUCUUGAUCCGGAGAUUUUGUGGACGGGCCUCUAGUUGGGUUUGCUCGUGACAACUAGGAUGGGACUCCAGCUCCUUUGAAUUGUGGAAAUCACGCAAAUUUUCGAGUUUGGCAUUUCGGAAUCGCUGUUUCUUCUUUUGUUUCCGCUCUGCACGUUACGAGUUAUCUCUCUGAAAUUUUACACAUUGCAAGAGAACUUGCGACUUUCUAAUAAAAAUAAAUCGAUAAUCGCUUAUAAAGUCAAUAUAUAAUUUUUGAACUGAAGUACGAGAUCCUAAAAUUUUCAUAGAUUCGUAA